CAACUACAAAAGAUUGAAAGCAUGAAAAUCGCAAAAGCGAAUAAAAGACAAGUUUUACAACCAAUAGAUCAAAAUACCGUAUUUCCAGAAUCAAAGAUCGGGCAAUCCGAAUCUGGGAACACCACCAUAACUUUGAAUGAGGAUAUCAAUAGACAAGAUGAAAGCUUACACAUGGAAACCACAAAUAGCGCUUGUAAAUAUUUCACUGAUAUGACCAAUCAAUCCGGUGUUGAGAAUGAAAAUGUGGUACGUAAAAGUAUUAAAAUUUCGACGAGAGAUACAAAUUAUAGAUACCUACUUGACUCAAAUAAAUGUUUUUUGGGUUGCUGGUAAUGCAUACGACAUCCAUCUAAACGUUAUUCACUGGUUAGUUCUUUUUAUUUGAAAAAAUUGGGGAGCAUAUUUUAAAUCGAUAUUUUUCUGAAUAUAUAUAUCUAGACAGAUCGAUCAGUGUAAUCUAUCAAGGCACAGCU